GCAUAAUUCUGUCGAUCUUUGUUGUGGGGAUGUUUAAUUUUUGAAUCGGGGCUUGUUCGCUGAUCACCCUGUAUAUAUUGUUAAUCAGAAAAACGCCAUUUCUGGAAGUCAUCCCACCAUUCGAACAGUUGCGAUUCUGCUGUUAUUAUCUUUUUAUUUAUAUUAUACAUAAAUUCCGUGUUCGGUUUAAUAUCUUAAAAAAUCGUCGGAUAGGCCGAAAAAUCGAAGAUCGAUUAUUCGACAAUCUGUCAAUAAUAUUGGUUUCGUAUCCUCCCCGCUAUCCGACCAUAAUCUUCGAUUCGAUGAUGAUAAAACCGUUUUUCUCAUAGUUACGGUUUUCGUCGUCUUGGUUCUGAGAUUUCUUUUCGAUCCUGUCAUAAGCCUCUAGUUGUGAUGAAGAACGAAAAUCUUAUAUUCGAGAAACACACUUUCUCAGUAUUUCUACCAGAAUCGGUACAGCGAUGGAAAUUUCUCGGAUCUGUUAUUACCACUUCGGCUGCAACUGGGUUUAAGGCUGAUGUACCGAUUCGUAUUAGAUACGCGGUUCUUAUACAUUCAGUAGCAUCCGAUUAUUUAAUUAAAAUUUUAAGCGAUAAACUGAAUAAAUCGGUGCCUGCUAUUGGAAGAUUAAUGUUUUAGAAAAUGCUCCCAUUUAUGAUAAAUGCGCUAUAAUUGGUAGCCACAGCUGGAAACGCGCAAUAAAAGCUGGCCAUCAUGCGUUUCCAGUUGUGGUCACCAAAUCAAACAAUGUGACCAUCAAAUCAAAUACGUCGAACGAUAUUUAAAGGGAAUCGUACUGGGAAACCGAUUUUCGACUGACAUCCCAUAAUCCAAAUUAAUCUAACUUGUAAGUUACUAAAACUUUAUACUUAUACCGAAAUACGUACGCUAUGGGAAAUAUCUCGUACUUUUGACAUCAGAGACGCCGAUGCAUAUUAUAAUGGCGACUAUUCGAUGGAUAUCGAAUAUUCGCCAUCAUAAUAGCCUAGUUUAUCGUGAUGGAUUUCUAGUUUAUCGUGUUUCGCUGUCACGUAUAGGGACCUGUUUGGGGAAUGGGUGGUGCGCUUUUGAGUAUUUUUUUGUAAAUUCUGUCUCGAUUUUCUAAUAAAUAAAUAAUAAACUGGCCGUCGCUUAACCCAGCGUGGUUCUUCCGGUCUUAGCCCCCUUACACGCCUAUAACUCUCGUCACCUCGGCUGGGGUCAAAACUUUCCUUAUCGAUACGCUAAAAUACACCGACAGAGGGCCAGAGGGGCGUCCGGAAACACUUUCCAUCUCUAAAAGAGAUAGAAAACGUUUCCGGAUAAGUACGUGGCAUUGACACCCUGUCCCGUACUUAUACGUUUCCGGAUAAGUACGGGACUUUGAUACCCCCUAAAUCCCUGAUUUUCGAAAUUGAUAUGAAUUAAUUUUGAAAAUCAGGGGGACCGUCAGUCAUCUACUAGCGGCACCGAAUGUUUACCAGCCCAUAUAUUACCCCUUGUCUUCUACUGGUGGUGGAGCUAUUUCGGCCUGUAUCCAUGACCAAGAAAGGACAAAACACGUUUGUCUAGUUACUACUUUUUAUUCGUUCCUUCGUUAGACGUUUUACCUCUACCGUGUACACAAUGCCACGGUAUAGAAUACGAUAGGAAGAUUUAACAUUUUCCGUUUACUUCCACAUUUCCACUAAAUCCAAAUGUUACCGUCCUUCAAAAAUUUAUCGCGUUUAGCACUAGCUACUCUUUUAGUAAGUCGACUGUCUAUAAGUAUCUCUGAUUUUAAUAACAUUGCUAGUAACCGCACGAUGUCGAACAUCCGUAUACUUCGACCUGUUACCAAAUACUGGAUUUAUUGGCAUCUUUUAUCCUUUUUAUUCGACUUAAGAUCAUGGUUUUUAGUUUUCUUUAAAUAUUUCAAAAUUCUUUUUGCAUAUUUUCCCCGUGUUUCCUAGAAACUAUUAUUAAAUUGUUAACUAUUGAUAAGCCCGAUCUGUAUCGGCAUUUCUAUCAAAAUUUAUAUCGAUCUCCCUUAGAGUGUCCAUUUUUUUGUCUUCGAUGGUGUGAAAUUUCUUCCAUUCUGGGUUUACGCGAUGCUCUCCAUCCAAGGAUAUUAAUUAAUAUUUUUACUUUUAUUAACAUAUUAUUUUCGUACAAACAUUGGACUACCUAGGUCUUUAAUUUUGAGUCGCAACCUUAAUUGAUGUUUUACCAAAAUUUUCUCGCGGCCGGAUGGCCAUGUGGUAACGCUUUGGCUUACCUCGCUGAAGGACCCGGGUCCGGCUAUCUCUUGAAAAGUUUUUUCGGGGCACGGCCCGACUAUCCUCGUUCUACACCAUCCGGUCCCCCUCCACGGGUAUGGUUGCAGCCUGUGGUUAGAACUGGCUUCUCCCCUUAGUAAUCUCACUGAUUGGAAAGGGUCCUAAAAAUACAAAAAAACCAAAAUUUUCUCAACG
rnacentral:lncRNA from 1 species